UGGGAUUUGGUGGAGACUUUGAUUGUUAAAGGCAUUGUUGAUCAUUCAUAUUAUUCAAAUUUGGUAACAAGUCUUGUGGUAAAAAAGAGGUCUGAUUUGCUUUGUUUGAGUAUUAGACAUGCUCCGGAUCUUGGAUUGACCGAGUUGCUUUGCAUUUUGAAAUACUUUCUUUGUCCAUCAAAAGACGCCUAUAGUAGCAUGGUGAAUGUCAGGAAGGAGUGGGAGAGCCAGGCAUUGUUAGCUAUUGAGAAGGUGAAAGACAAGAAACUCUCAGACAAGAAAUCGCGCAUAGCUAAGGAGGCUUCAAUUCUGCUUAUGCUUGCCCAUGAUGGGUUCUCAACGUCUGAGCUUUGUUUGCAUUAUUUGCUGGCAUCAUCGAAUGUUGAUGAAGUUAUAUUAUCAUCUUCAAUAGGUAAAUUGAAUGGUAAAGAUAUGAUGAGUUUAAUUAGGUAUCUCGGGAAAUGGUUAAAAAAAUAUGAAAUGUUUCCUCAGGCAGGUCCAUGCCCUAAGGCAUCAUCUAUGCUGGGCUUGAAAGCUUGUGAUUGGGUUCCUAAACUUGAAGAUAUUGUCAGAUGUCUGGGGUUGGUGCUGGAUGAAAACUUCUCUUCCCUGGUGUUGCAUCCAGAGUUUCAUGAAGAGCUGAAAUCAAUCGAGGGAUUGGUUGGUUCUCUAGCUUUAGAAGCUAAAUUAUGUUGCUCUAUGGCAAACGUAAUUGAGAAUUUGAAAACUGAAGCUGAAGGUGAACAGAGUUAGGAGCAAUCACUAAUGGUUUUCUGAUCCAUAAUUUAUGUUCCAAUAUUUGGCUUAGUCUAUAAUCUUAGUUUAACGUCAUUUUUAUGUAAUUUUUAUUGUCAGAAUUUGCAUUAAUUAGCAUAUUU
rnacentral:misc_RNA from 1 species